CGAAGGAGAUGGAUGGCGUCGUUGAAGAUCACCCGAACCUCCCAUGGCAGAUGGGCAUCCGUGUUGACAGAUUCAACCAGUAUGGCGCUGUCCGAUUCGAUGAUCAGUGCAUCGCAGUGUCUGCCCAGGCAAUGCAAAUGGCUAAGAGUGAUCAAAAGGGCCAUAAACUCUUAUUGUAGAGCCGAUGAAGCAGGAAAGGUUGUGGGUUACGAUAAGAGCAAAGAGCGGAUCGAGCGUUGGCGAUAGCUCUGUCAAGCACCUGAGAUGCAUCCACCUAUUGGUGACGAAAGAUAAAGUUGUUCCUGGAUUUCCAAAUGUGCCAUAGGACAUAGGCGAUGGUGUUCUGAUCAGGUACACUUUGAUUUCGAACAAACAGAUCUGAAAUCCAUUCAUUUAGGCUCUGUGAAUGCUGUGUCUGAAUGGGUAAAUGAAGCUUGGGGUCUGACCAAAUGGCACUAGUCCAAUGACAACGCAGAAAUAUGUGAUCGGCCGAUUCAGGUUCACUAUUAUGGCAGAUUACACAGUAAGGGUCAGGGCUGAUAUUUCUGUUAUACAGAUUACCUUUUGUAGGUAGAACAUUGUGUAGUAGACUCCAUAGAAAAUAUUUGAUCUUGGGCGCAAUGCUUAAUUUCCAUAGUAUUUUCCAUAAAGCUAUCGGGAACUGAUGGCUAUGCAAAUCGCCAUCUUGAUUGCUGUUGAUUUCUGUCGGCCGAGUGUGUAUGUAACCACUCUUGACGGUAUAGACGCGGUGAGUGGUUUCCGUCCAUAUCAGUUUAUCCUCUGUAUGAGAAGGGCUGAUCAGGAUGGCGAGGAUUUCCUUAACUGUAGUGUCGUCAUAGAGGUCAUUAAGUAGGGGGAUAUUCUAGGCAUUGGUAUGCCUAUCCAUGAGUUCGCCUACCAUAGCCGAUUCAUCCCGGUUUGCUUGGCCAACCAGAAGUCCUUGUGGUAGCCACUGAUCUUCACGUAUGUUAAUCCUAGUUCCAUCACCUACUAACCAUCGAAGCUUAGGAAGGAUUGAAUUCCAACCUAGUAAAAGACUCUGCCAACCCCAAGAUGGUCUGGCCCCUUUAUCCGCAUGUAAAAAAUCUCGGGAAUGGAAGUAGAUACCUUUAAAUAAUUUACUCCAAAGUGCCGUAGAAUUUUGAAUCAACCGCCAAGCCUAUUUUCCAAGCAGUGCAUUGUUGAAGUGCAUGAGAUCUCUGAAGCCGAUACCACCUUGGUUCUUGCUCUGUUUAAGCACAUCCCAUCUUUUCCAAUGGCCGGUUUGAGAGGCAUAAGUGAUACAAUUGCAUUGAGUAAAGUUUUUUAUAUUAAAUUGUUAUUCAUAUGAAAUGACAAAUGAGGUUGUAUAACUGUGAUCAUGAAAGAUUGAAGUGCAUAAUUGUCUGCUAUUAUUGUCACCUAACUUAUCACUUGGUGAGUAAGUUUCAUCUAAUUUAGUACUUAGUAGGUAACGAAAUAUCAAAGUAGUUAUAGCAACUUUCUCAUCCUUAUUAGUUACUUCUUAUACAUAAAAGGCAUAUGCGGUUCUCUUGCCAAUGAGUUACAUUUCCAUUUAAUUAUUAAUUUUUCAAGAUGUCGAGUAACUAUUAAAAACUCGGUAAUUAGAAUUGUCUCAUCUUCUAACUUACUUGUAACGUCGAAAUAAUAACUAUCAAUAUGCAAAGUAAUUGCACUCAAUACCUUAUUCACAAUAAGGGUAAAUCGUUAUAUAAUAUAAGAGAGAGUGCGCAUGUUUUUGCUAGUGUCGGAUGGAGAAAGAUCAGGAUGCUCUCUCCGUUAGAGACUGGCGGCGAAGACGGGGUGCUACAAUAACAAAAAUGGGUUAUUUGAAGAGGAAUAGAAUGAACAGACAUAUAUGCAAGUGGAGGAAGAUGUUGCUGAUGAAAAGAGCAGGGGUUUGGCGAUGGUCAGCAACAAUCGCCUUUCAAUUGGGUACUUAGAAUGAAAGACAAUUAGCUAGAUGCGCCAAAAAUGACCUUCUUAGAUUCAACCAAUGCCCAAAGUAAAUAGAGAAGUUAUCACACCCAGGCCCAUAGAGGGUCGCUCCCUUCUAUAUCUUCAAAGAGAAAAGUGAUUUUUCUAUAAGUUAGUAAUUUUCACCUGAAUAAGUGGCUUUCAAAAUAUUAGUAAGUGGUACAUUUCCACCUAAUUCAAUUGGCAAAUAUGUAAUUAGUCGAAGUGACUUUUCAUUUCAUUAGAAACUUUUAUACAGAAAAAAGGAAGUAUGUACCUUUCAAAUUUCUUGGUUUGAUUAUCAAUUUUUCUUUAGGAAAAGAUCAUUUUCAAUCCAUCGAGAGUUCGCAGAUUUUAAGUCUUGAUUUAAAAAGUCGGAACUUUAAUUUUAAUUGGUAAUUAGUUGGUAUGGCUUAUAAUUUUAAUAUAAUAAAAUACCUACUAGUAUAUCAAGAGUUGGCAACAUUCACAAGUAGUAGCUAUUCUGAAAUAUUAGAUAACCAAAUAUAUUUAUGUAGUCAGCAACUACACUACUGCAAUAAUUUCUUCAAUGAUCCAGCAAUGGCCAGUAAAAAUGGCAUGAAUUUUCUCCGCUUUUAAUCUCACGACACCAUGGGAUCACCCAUAAUGGGAAUCUGACACCUCAACAAGAUGAAUUUGGCUCCGAGGAGGUUCUUUUAUGUUUUGUUUGCCAGAACAUUGCACAAGCAAAUAUAUUUUAAGCAUUUAAGUAGUUUAUGUCCGGAUUUUUUGUCUCUUUGUUAGAUGGGUAGUUCAAGGCAUUGAUCACGACGUCGCAGGAAGAUCGUUGCUGGGGAAAGGCUCCAUCUUUUUUCCCUGGAGGAGAGAUGCUGAAGUGGUUGCUUAUGGCUUCACAUUGCUUCGCGACGAGUUCCUAGGAUAAGCUUUUUGUUUUGUAUUUGGACCAAGAGGAGGAAAAGUGGUUGCCCCGGUCCAGAUCCUUCCACACAUUAAUGCCAAGAAGGGGAGAGGGAGUUCUCUAUAUGCACCAUACUAUCAAGUCAUUUCCGAUGACGUGGCUUGCAUAUUACCAACCAAGAGCAGAAAAGUCAAUUUUAAUCAAGAUGAUUUGAAUCAUUUCCAAUUUAGCCUCAAGAGUAAUGGGAGAAAUCUUCCAAAAGUGGGGAUUCAGAAUAAUGCUGGGCAAUUAGAGGACAACUUGAAGGCCGUGAUUCCAGACAAUCAGUAACUCAGCUUGAUCCAGCUUUCCUCUAUGUGGUUGGUCACUUACACUCUUCGAGGUUUGUCAUGCUGAGGUAUCAAACAAAUUCAUAAGAAGAGAGCUCAAGAGAAGCAGAUUUACGGGAGAACCCACCAGUACCAGCUUUAUAGUCCAUGAAAAAGGGACUUGCAUCUAGAGCUAUGAAGGAGGAUAUUGCACUUUGGGAAAAUGGCCCAAGUCAAACGGAUCACGAGGAAAGUGGCCCAACAGUGCAGAGGAAUGCAUGAUGGGGCUGCAUAAUACUGAAGCUGGAAUUCUCGAUUUAUAUCAACUGAAUUUGCGUGACGAUUUAGUGGAAACUCUAGUGACAUCUAUAAUUAUUGGGAAAGACAGAUAAAACUCUUUGAGAGACUUCUAAUAAUGGAUUUUAAACUUUGGAAUUAUUGCUUUUAAAUUUCUUACAUUUCCUAUAUCAAGAAUGCUACGUUGAAAGAAUGAUCGAAUAUAUUUGUGUUA